rnacentral:rRNA from 1 species
CAGCCGCCGCGGUAAUACGAAAGGUGCAAGCGUUACUCGGAAUUACUGGGCGUAAAGCGUGCGUAGGUGGUGGUUUAAGUCCGUUGUGAAAGCCCUGGGCUCAACCUGGGAAUUGCAGUGGAUACUGGGUCACUAGAGUGUGGUAGAGGAUAGUGGAAUUUCCGGUGUAGCAGUGAAACGCGUAGAGAUCGGAAGGAACAUCUGUGGCGAAGGCGACUAUCUGGGCCAACACUGACACUGAGGCACGAAAGCGUGGGGAGCAAACAGGAUUAGAUACCCCUGUAGUCCCUGUCUCUUAUAC